CCAGGAUGAAUGCGCCAUUCCGGAAGUGAAAACGGGGGCGGAGGAGGAGGGGAGGGGGUGUUCGGUGCUGUAAAGUAGAACUUAGAAAUCGGAAUCCGUUUAUAGAUUCAUAUCCUUCUGAAUAACUCAGUGAGCGGAUCCGAGUCUCACUUGAGUCCCAAGUAUUUAUCACUGCAGCCCGCAGAGCUCCAAGUGGGAGGGACUUAUUCCGCGGGGUCUGCAAAAUAGACUUGCUACAAAAAGGCAUCACUGGAAGCUUUUUCACACUGACUAAAUGUGCUUUUUAUCUGUGUGGGUAGCAGAGGACAUAUGACUUAUCUUGAUUGAUGAGAGCAAAAUGCCACAAAAGAACGUGAAACCAAAGAGGAAGACAAAGCAAAAGGAGGUCAUGGGUGUUUGGAAUGCUUGGGGUAAAAGAGGAGAGCAGAACCAUUUUGAAAAUCACUCAGCAUUCAGAAAAUUCAUUUUCAAAAGUAUGUUACCACUGUUAUCUCAGAUGGGUGGAAAGUCCAUAACUCCCUCAGAGAUGCUGGACAUAAACAUUUAACUGUGAGCCAUAAAGAGGUUUUUGUUGAAUCUUAGACAGAUUCAGGGGAGUCGGUAAAGUAAACAGUGUGCAGGUUUAGGGGGAACUGCACAGCAAGCAUAAUUAAUUAGCACUUUAAAAAAAUCACAAGGACUUACAGGCAUGAUAACAAAAUUAAAAUUUCUCCCGGGCAUUAUUCUGCAUGACAUUGAAGAAGGUAUUUCCUGUAAGAAAAAUACAAAUGUUCAGUUUAUUCUGUAAACAUUAUCAUUUGUGUUAAAAACAAAUUUGUCCAUAAUUGUUUGACAAAUGACUGUUACUAUUGAAGAUGUAUGUUAUGUGAAUUUCUCACUGCAGUUUUUAAUGUCUCUUCUCUUAUUGGAAAAUUACAAAUGUAUACUUUAGAACAGGGAACAUACUCUAUAUUUAUUUCAUACUUAUAAGCUACACAUUCACACGUGUAGCUUAUAUAGAAAACACCUAUAAAGUAUGAAUUUUGAACAGUACACGCUAUCUGUACCUUUUAUUUCUUAGCUAAUAUGUUCAUUGUUAGGACAAAAACAAAUGUAAUGGGGCUAUAAAAUAGGAAAUAAGAUAAAUAAUAUAAGAAAGGUCUUAUACAUAGCUUGUAAGGGCAUGUAAGUCCAUAGCUAAUCAUUUACAAAUGUAGCUAUCAAUCAUUAUUUUCUCAUACUUUAAAUAAAAUAGUCUUUAUUCUAUGUUAUGCUGCAUCAUAAUUUUUUUAACUGCACUUUACAUCAUGCACAAAAAGAUACGGUUAGGCCCUUUGGAAAACACUUUAGACAGAGGAGUACUGUAUUUGACACUGUACAUUUACAUUUAUAGCACUUAUCCAGAGUAACUUUCAACUGAGCAGGAGAGGGUUAAGGGCCUUGCUCAAGGGCCCAGCAGUGGCAGCUUAAUGGUGCUGGGAUUUAAAAUUGAGCUUCCGAUCCAACGUCCAAUUUCUUGACCACUGAGCAACCACCUCCUGCCUGGGUAUGGCUGAGUAGAACUGGAUCUGCAGAAGGAAGCCCUCUAUACACA